CUAUCACCUCGGGGUGGAGAAGUGAAAAACUUACUAGCUUUGCCAGUUUGACUGUCAGAGAGAGCUGCAUUCAAAUUCUGACCCCAAUCCUUGCUAUCUACGUAACAGACAAGUUAAUUAAACUUUCUUAAUCUGACAGGGAAAACGUUGCCACUUUGGCUGGUUUUAAGUAUAUAAUUUAGCAAAUCAUACUUAUCUUUGACUAAGUUGCAGACUGUAGGUUGGGUAUUUAGAAAUUAGAGCACCUACGGAUCAGAUACGCCCAUUUAUAUUUUUAGUGGGGAAAGACAUGCAGUGGGAUCCCAAGCCUGUCUUUUGUGAGCCUUUAUUGACUAAGCUUUCUGCCUUUUCCUUUCUAAAACCUUUUAGAAAUUAAGAACAUCCAGGCACUUCCUUUGGCAAGUCUGACACAUACACAAGGGAGAGGACAUAAAUAAUUUCCAUACUCUUCAAUGAAAGUGAAUGUGUAACAUAUAAAACAAUGGGCCAGGUGCGGUGGCUCACGCCUGUAAUCACAGCACUUUGGGAAGCCGAAAUGGGUGGAUCACGAGGUUAGGAGUUUGAGAGCAGCCUGGCCAGCAUAGUGAAACCCCGUCUCUACUAAAAAUACAAAAAUUAGCCGGGCAGGAUGGUGGGCGCCUGUAAUCCCAGCAACUCAGGAGGCUGAGGCAGGAGAAUUGCUUGAACCUGGGAGAUGGAGGUUGCAGUGUGCUGGGACUGCGCCACUGCACUCCAGCCUGGGUGACAGAGCAAGACUCCAUCUCGGGGGUAGCGGGGAGAGGGGAAAGAAUGGUGGCUAGUCAAACAGUCCUUUCCAGUAACAAGGUCUCAGGCACCCAUCUCAGAAGAUUUAUUACAUGCUGCCCCCACCAUUGACCCCAAAGGAGACUGACUCUGCAAACAGCUCAAAUCAUAGUCAUCCUCUUCAUUUCCUGUGUGUCCCUCCCACUCCUCUCACUAACACGUAAUACCAUAGCCACAUCAGUCAGUGGUUAGGAUGCUGGGUUAAUUUUACUCCCAAGGAAAGUGACGCCUGAGAGAAAGAGCCAUUUGUUUGUCUUUUUAAUUUCAGCUUCUUCCUAAAUAAGACAGCCUUUUAGAAAGACUUUCACAGUGUCAGGUUAGUUACCUAAAUCUUAGGUAACUUUAGGUUAGUUACCUAAAGUCACUCUGUGACUUCAUCCUGAUAUAAAGGAACAAGGAAGAGAGUCGGAUUAGGCUAACUCACUAUGAUGGGGUAACACAUAGAAAAGGCACGGAGAAGUUAAGUGAUUUGCCUGUGGUCACAAAGCCUGUUAGCAGCAAACCCAGAACAAGAACCUAAGAUUUAUGACCGCCAGUUCCAGCUGUUUUUCUUCGUCAUGUAUCCUCAGCAAUCAACAUAAUCAAAAUCUGUUUGGAGACUACUGAUUUGUAUAAAGGAAGAUAACACCGAACAACCAAACAGGAAGUAAUCCAGCGAAUCUGGAACAGCGGUGGAAUUUAGAAGCAAGGCCAGAUGAGGACCCUAAGACCUAGAGAAACUAAGUCAUUUGCUCAAGAAGACAAAGAAUUGGCUGCCAUAACUCAGUGUUCCCGGGACCUGCAGUGGGCAGAGCACCAGCACAACCCGUAGAAAGCAGCUCCAAGAUCAGCACCCUCUCAUAAACCUACCGAGCCAGGAGCAUCUUCCAGGCCCUCCACUCUCAGGAGUUUCAAGGAGAAAACAAAAUGCUGAGGACUGGGAAUGAGAAGCUUCAACCUUGCACAAUCUCUACAUUUUGCUUUACUCCCAAGAGGGACGAAUGAAGAAUGUUGUUAUUGAUGCUAUGACCACUUCUCUCCCAUAUUGUGCCCAGUAAACAUGGUCUUACUCAUUAUUGAA
rnacentral:lncRNA from 1 species